rnacentral:rRNA from 1 species
AUGGCCGGCGCCGUCGGCUUCCUCGCGGACGUGAACGACAACUGGCUUAAGCCACGUCUGCUCCGAGUGGUGGUUGGCGAGCGGAUGCCGCAGCCGGGGAGCACCGUCCCGCCGGAGGAGCUGGCCUCCAUCCUCGAGGCGGUGCGCACGCACGGCCUCCUCAACGAGGUCCUCCAGGACCCGUCGGACCAAAAGCUCGCCGAGGCGUGGCGCGCCACGGUCGACGCCUGGGUCGAGCGCGUCGGCGAGCUCGUGGAGAGCGACUCGCCAUAUAGUCGUUGGUUGGGAACUUGUUUUCUUGGCGUGACUUUCCAAGAAUGCAGCAGUGAGCGCUUUGCUGAAUCAUACUCUGAUUGGUUUGAGAAGAUUCUGAGGAACUUGCAGCAGGGACCGUCUAGCUUGCAACUUGUUACUGUGGUCUCUUGUACUUCCAUGUCUGAUCUAUUUGCGAGAUUGGCGAAAUUUUUGAAUUUAAAGAAAGAGGCAUCAUCCUUUGCUGGAAGAGUUGUUGAACCAUUGCUGCUGCUUUUAAAUGAAAAUGGUCCAGUGGCGGAUGAAGCAAUUGAUUUGCUAAGGACAGUUAUUAAAUUGUAUCCCUCAUCUGUAAAUCGACACUACAAUAAAGUCGAAUCCACCAUUGCAUCCAAGAUUAUGAGUACAGAAGUCAAUGUAAAAUUAUCAAAGAAAUUUGCGAGAGUCUUAGCAAUGCUUCCUUCUGUCCGAGUAUCUGAGGGCACUUGGUCAUUGAUGAUUCAGAAAGUACUGAUGGGUAUAAACAAUCUUCUGAAUGAUGCUUUUGUUGGGCUGGAAGAAGAAAAGAAAGGGCGUGAGAUUAUGAUGCUUCUAGUUCCACCUGGUAAUGACCCUCCACCAGUGUUGGGAGAUCAAGUAAAGUUGGGAGGCAAUUUGCAUGUGACAAAGAAAUUUCGUGUCUUCACUGUUCCUACUAUUUCAGCGCUUGCCCAUUGCUGCUGCAUGAUGCUGACUAGUCAUUACCCGGUUCAGGUCACCGUUCCUGUCCGUGCUUUGAUAGCUCUGUCACGGAGAGUGCUCUUAGUUGAUGGAUCAUUGCAGAAGUCGUUCCCUUCAACUACUUCCUUGCACCAAGAGCUUAUUUGUUUUGAGCUUCCAUCAUUGCAUUCAUCUUUCUUGGAUUUGCUCCAUGCAACUAUUAAAGGAAUGCGAAGCCAACUUUUACCGCAUGCUGCUAAUAUUGUACGGCUUGUAACUGAUUACUUCAAAAUUGCGAAGCUGCCUACUACGAGGACAAAAGUUUACAGCAUUGUUCAGCUGUUGCUGACCUCCAUGGGUGUUGGAAUGUCUCUCCAUUUGUUAGAGGUAAUAGUCAGCAAUGCAGUUGGUGAUCUGGAUGAUAAUUGUGUAAAAGAAAUGACUCUAUUCAGCACAAAUCCAUCAAAAGGGAAUAGUGAAUCUUUGUCAAAAAGUUACUCCAAGAAGAGGAAGCAAGAACCACAAAUGCAAAAUUCACAUGCCUUGGGUAUGGAGAAAGCAGCAAUCAGCCCAAAGAAAAUGAAAACCUCUUCCAUGCCAACUUCAUCGAAGGGAAUGACCCCUGAAACUCCAGGAGAUGUUAGAAUGUUCACACCACUCUCUGUUAAAAUAGCUGCACUAGAAACCUUGGAAAUUCUUCUGAAUGUGGGGGGUUCAUUGAGGACAGAUCACUGGAGGGCAAAAGUGGACUUGCUCCUAAUUAACAUAGCUACAAGUGCUUGCGACUCAGGAGCAGGGUAUGAUCCAUCAAUAUCCAAAGUCGGGGAGACAAGCAUAUCAGACUAUCGACUUGCUUCAUUGAAAGCAUUGCUGGCAUCUUUUCUUUCAUCUCCUCAUGCCCGGCCACUUUAUUUAGCCCAAGGAACUGAACUAUUUAGAAAAGGGAAGCUAGAGAUAGGCACUACGCUCGCAGAGUUUUGUUCGCAUGCUUUGCUGGCUUUGGAUGUUCUUACGCACCCACGAGCCCUUUCUCUAGAAAAGGCAGGUCCUUUAGUUCCUGGACUCAACCGCAGUGAACCAGAAAAGGCAAUUUUUGGUGCUAGCACAUUUAACUUUUCACCAUCCCAAGGGCAGCGGCAGGUUAUUGCGGAUGAAGAUACUUAUGAUGAUUGGUUGCCAUCCAUCAAGGAUAAUGAACCGUCAGAAAAGUCCACUCUUGUAAAAGAAGUUCCGCAAAUUGAUUCACAUACAAUUGCUGAGGCAGAAGAAGAUGUUCCUGCAUGCAACAGGAGUGAUACCAUUAUGGUGGUUGCGGCCACAGAAAAAACCUCCGAGCCAAUGACAGUGGAUAAUCCUUCUAGCUCCAAUGUUGCUUCAAAUCCAAUCUACUCAAGGCCACCUGAAGCACAGAAAGCUGCAGCUACCCCCUUUCGAGAGGAAAAGCGUGCGGAUCAUGUUGAUUCUCUUCUUCAGAAUAAAAGCUCAGCUGUGGUCAACCUACCAUUCCGCAAUCUGGCAACCUCAGGUGAAAAACCAUCUGACCCAGGUGUUGCUGCUCCGAGCAGCUAUAAAGAUGUCUCUUCAACCCGCUUCAUUCAGCCCAUCAAGGCAGACUUGUCUGAUACAGAGUCAGUAGACUCGAUGCCAGAGAUACAAGACGGCGACCCGGAUUCUGACUAUUGA